UACGGGGGGAGCAAGCGUUGUUCGGAUUUACUGGGCGUAAAGGGCGCGUAGGCGGCCAACUAAGUCGGACGUGAAAUCCCUCAGCUUAACUGGGGAACUGCGUCCGAUACUGGAUGGCCUGGAUUUGGGAGAGGGAUGCGGAAUUCCAGGUGUAGCGGUGAAAUGCGUAGAUAUCUGGAGGAACACCGGUGGCGAAGGCGGCAUCCUGGACCAAUAUUGACGCUGAGGAGCGAAAGCCAGGGGAGCAAACGGG
rnacentral:rRNA from 1 species